rnacentral:rRNA from 1 species
AGGGUUUGAUUCUGGCUCAGGACGAACGCUGGCGGCGCGCCUAACACAUGCAAGUCGAACGAGCGAAGAGGAGCUUGCUUCUCUGAGCGAGUGGCGAACGGGUGAGUAACGCGUGAGGAACCUGCCUCAAAGAGGGGGACAACAGUUGGAAACGACUGCUAAUACCGCAUAAGCCCACGGGUCGGCAUCGACCAGAGGGAAAAGGAGCAAUCCGCUUUGAGAUGGCCUCGCGUCCGAUUAGCUAGUUGGUGAGGUAACGGCCCACCAAGGCGACGAUCGGUAGCCGGACUGAGAGGUUGAACGGCCACAUUGGGACUGAGACACGGCCCAG